rnacentral:lncRNA from 1 species
AGUUCGAGAUAUGAAAAAUUCUUUUUCCAAAAUACCUGGCCAGGAAUUUAUCGAACUCAGUCUCAUAAAUUGAAGGAAAAAUAUCUCGCAAAAUCCGAUAAAAUCGGAUGCCAGGUCAGAAAAUCAGUUUUAAAAUUUUAUCUAUUUAUUUAUAACAGGUAUAAAUAAAUAACAUAACUAUAUUAUGUUUACCAUACCUCGAUCCCGCAGCGGAAGAUGGUCAAGGUACUCAGGAACAGAAUCUGGUACAGGGCCAAGUGCUGGAUCAGAUACUGGAUCGGAUGCUAGAUCUGGUACUGGAUCGG